UACGGGGGGUGCGAGCGUUGUUCGGAGUUACUGGGCGUAAAGAGUGCGUAGGCGGUUUUCUAAGUUUGGUGUGAAAUCUCCCGGCUUAACUGGGAGGGUGCGCCGAAGACUGGAAGGCUUGAGUAUGGGAGAGGUAAGCGGAAUUCCUGGUGUAGCGGUGAAAUGCGUAGAUAUCAGGAGGAACACCUGCGGUGUAGACGGCUUACUGGACCAUCACUGACGCUGAGGCACGAAAGCGUGGGUAGCAAACAGG
rnacentral:rRNA from 1 species